UGCCAGCAGCCGCGGUAAUACGGAGGGUGCAAGCGUUAUCCGGAAUCAUUGGGUUUAAAGGGUCCGCAGGCGGAUGUAUAAGUCAGUGGUGAAAUCCUACAGCUUAACUGUAGAACUGCCAUUGAUACUGUACAUCUUGAAUUCGGUCGAAGUGGGCGGAAUAUGUCAUGUAGCGGUGAAAUGCUUAGAUAUGACAUAGAACACCGAUAGCGAAGGCAGCUCACUAGGCCUGGAUUGACGCUCAGGGACGAAAGCGUGGGUAGCGAACAGGAUUAGAUA
rnacentral:rRNA from 1 species